CAUUAGCCGCGGAAUACGGAGGGUGCAAGCGUUAAUCGGAAUUACUGGGCGUAAAGCGUGCGUAGGCGGUUCGUUAAGUCUGUUGUGAAAGCCCCGGGCUCAACCUGGGAAUGGCAAUGGAUACUGGCGAGCUAGAGUGUGUCAGAGGAUGGUGGAAUUCCCGGUGUAGCGGUGAAAUGCGUAGAGAUAUGGAGGAACACCAGUGGCGAAGGCGACUUUCUGGUCUGUAACUGACGCUGAGGAGCGAAAGCGUGGGGAGCGAACAGGAUUAGAUACCCCAGUAGUCCCUGUCUCUUAUACA
rnacentral:rRNA from 1 species